rnacentral:rRNA from 1 species
CCCUUAGAUGUCCGGGGCUGCACGCGCGCUACACUGAAGGAAUCAGCGUGCUAAAACCAUUGUCGAAAGGCAUUGGUAAACCCAUUAAAAUCCUACGUGAUUGGGAUCGGGAAUUGCAAUUAUUUCCCUUGAACGAGGAAUUCCCAGUAAGUGUGGGUCAUAAGCUCGCGUUGAUUACGUCCCCGCCCUUUGUACACACCGCCCGUCGCUGCCCGGGACUGAGCCGUUUCGAGAAAAGCGGGGACUGCUGCUGUCGGGGCUUUCGGGCCUUGGCUUCGGUGGAAACCGCUUUAAUCGCAGUGGCUUGAACCGGGCAAAANUCGUAACA